CCCACCCUGUCGGCUGCCUGGGCAGACUCCCAGCCAGGGCCUCUUUCGCCGCCGCCGCCAGCCAGCCAGCCAGCCAGCCAGCCAGCCAGCUUUUUCCCAGGACCAUAGGCCACUCCACCCUCAGCUUCUCGUGGCCCCCUCCCUGUGUCUGUUCCUGUCCCCGAGCCUCUGGCCCCUGAUGCCUUCAGGAGCUUGGGCCUCUCCUGCUCCACUCCUAAACUUCAGCUUCUCAGCAAACAGGCCUCCUAAGUCCCUUCUUCUCCCUCUGGGGCCUUGCUAGCCUCAUCAGCUCUAGGACCUGGCCAGGCCUCCCAGGCUCCCUCCUCCACCCCCACCCCUUCUCACUCAUGGAGUCCCUGGGACUGGUCGUGCAUGGGAAAGCUGAACCUUUUUCCGCAGCACUCCGAAGCCUUGUCAACAACCCGCGAUACAGUGAUGUUCGCUUCGUGGUCGGUCAAGAACGGCAGGAGGUAUUUGCCCAUCGGUGCUUGUUGGCCUGUAGAUGCAACUUCUUCCAGCGACUUCUGGGCACAGAGCCAGACCCCGGGGUGCCUAGUCCUGUGGUGCUAAGCACUGUGCCAACUGAGGCCUUCCUGGCAGUGCUGGAGUUCCUAUAUACCAACAGUGUCAAGCUGCACCGCCACUCUGUGAGCCUGCUGACCAGGGGCCUGGGUGGGAGAGGUGGGGGGUGCCAGAAGCAGGAGUUUGCCCAUUACACUGUGGGCAUAGGGCAGGGGAAACUCCCUUCCACUCCCCCAACCACCCACUCUACAGGUGCUGGAAGUGCUGACAGCGGCUGUGGAGUAUGGGCUGGAGGAACUGAGAGAGGUGGCCGUAACCUUUGGCCUGGGGCCGCUGCAGGAGCGCUGCGUGGCUUUCAUAGAGGCCCACAGCCAGGUACUGCUCCCUUCAUACUCCUCACCCCACGCACCGCAUUCUGCUCCUCCCUGACCCAUUUGCCGGCUCGCAGGAGGCCCUCCGGACCCGAGGCUUCCUGGAGCUGUCGGCGGCCGCGCUGCUGCCCCUGCUCCGCAGCGACAAGCUCUGCGUGGACGAGGCUGAACUGGUCCGCGCGGCCCGAAGCUGGGCUCGCGUGGGCGCGGUGAGUGGGGCUGGGGGAGCGCAAGGGCACGGAAGGAGGUGCGGGCCACGAGCCUGGUGAGUGGGCGGCAGGACAAGGUGCCCGACUCAGGGCUGGCGUUUGCAGGCGGUGCUGGAGCGGCCGGUGGCCGAGGUGGCGGCCCCGGUGGUGAAAGAGCUGAGACUAGCCUUGCUGGCCCCGGCGGAGCUGAGCGCGCUGGAAGAGCAGAACCGGCAGGAACCACUCAUCCCGGUGGAGCAGAUUGUGGAGGCGUGGAAAUGCCAUGCCCUGCGGAGAGGGGAUGAGGCCCGGGGCGCCCCGUGUCGCCGCCGGAGAGGCACCCUGCCCCGGGAGCAUCACCGCUUUCUGGACCUGUCCUUCAAAUGAUCCAACGCCGGAACUCACAGGGAGCCCUGGACCCGCCCAGCUGAGCCUGCCCCAAACUACAGCUCCCGAAGUGCUCGGCGUUCGGAGCGGGCUUCCGUUCCCAGCGUGCCCAGUGAGCCGGGCGCCGGAAGAACCGUUGUCUGCCACGCGCAGCCCCUUGUGCGGAAUCAAGCCCGUGUGGGCGAGACGGAAUCUCGGUCACCCUGGCCGUAGUACAGAGGAGCGAUCUCGGAUCGCUGCAACCUCCGCCUUCCAGAGGCAAGAAACUCUCCC